AUCUAGGUAGUUUAAGAUUUAAAAUAUUAAUUUGUGGUAUUAGUGAUGCAAAAUGAUUUGCUCUGGAUC
rnacentral:tRNA from 1 species